AGAACGAACGCUGGCGGCAUGCCCAAUACAUGCAAGUCGAACGAACUCUUCGGAGUUAGUGGCGCACGGGUGCGUAACGCGUGGGAAUCUGCCCCUUGGUUCGGAAUAACAGUUGGAAACGACUGCUAAUACCGGAUGAUGACGAAAGUCCAAAGAUUUAUCGCCAAGGGAUGAGCCCGGCGUAGGAUUAGCUAGUUGGUGAGGUAAAGGCUCACCAAGGCAACGAUCCUUAGCUGGUCUGAGAGGAUGAUCAGCCACACUGGGACUGAGACACGGCCCAGACUCCUACGGGAGCAGCAGGUAGGAAUAUGGACAAUGGGCAAAGCCUGAUCCGAGCAAUGACCGCGUGAGUGAUGAAGCUUAGGUGUAAGCUCUUUACCGAGUAUGAAUAUGACUAGUAUACGG
rnacentral:rRNA from 1 species